UCCCUGGAGGACUAGUGGUUAGGCCACAGCGCUCUCACUGCUGCGGCCGGGUUUGAUUCCUGGCCAGGGAA
rnacentral:tRNA from 1 species